AUCAGACAGAGGACUGAUAGAUAGACAUCAUGUUGAAGUUAACAUCAGAGCCAGAGGACUGUAACAGAUCAGUAGAAACUCUGAGAUCCAGAACAGUAAAAGUAUAGAACAGGAUAUUACCACUGCGUUUAACAUGGUGUAAGUCUGGACCGUGUGAGAAGCCUCAUUGAGCAACAUUAAGUCAAAACAGCUCAUCUCUCUGUCUGCGUAACAAAUGACACUAUUUCCUACAUAGUGCACUACUUUUUGACCAGGGCCCAUAGGGGAGAGGGUUCUAUUUUGGGACGCACACUCUGAUGUCCUGGCAUCACUUCCUUCCCAUAGUGAUGACAGGUUGAAACUGAGUGACACACUGAAGGCUGGUGACAACUGGCUCAUCGUUCCCAUAGCAACAACACAGCAUCAACACCCGCUGGAGGGGAGAGGACUUCUGUCUUCCCAUUAGCCCCCCCCCCAGAGGGGUUGUCUUUCCCCUAGCUGACUGGGGCUGAGGGAGAGAGACCAGGGACAUUAUUCCCCCUAGAGGGGUUGUCUUUCCCCUAGCUGACUGGGGCUGAGGGAGAGAGACCAGGGACAUUAGUCCCCCCAGAGGGGUUGUCUUUCCCCUAGCUGACUGGGGCUGAGGGAGAGAGACCAGGGACAUUAGUCCCCCUCCAGAGGGGUUGUCUUUCCCCUAGCUGACUGGGGCUGAGGGAGAGAGACCAGGGACAUUAGUCCCCCCAGAGGGGUUGUCUUUCCCCUAGCUGACUGGGGCUGAGGGAGAGAGACCAGGGACAUUAUUCCCCCUAGAGGGGUUGUCUUUCUCCUAGCUGACUGGGGCUGAGGGAGAGAGACCAGGGACAUUAGUUCCCCCAGAGGGGUUGUCUUUCUCCUAGCUGACUGGGGCUGAGGGAGAGAGACCAGGGACAUUAGUUCCCCCAGAGGGGUUGUCUUUCCCCUAGCUGACUGGGGCUGAGGGAGAGAGACCAGGGACAUUAGUCCCCCCAGAGGGGUUGUCUUUCCCCUAGCUGACUGGGGCUGAGGGAGAGAGGACUUCCGUCUUCUAUAC